rnacentral:rRNA from 1 species
AUUGAACGCUGGCGGCGGGCUUAACACAUGCAAGUCGGACGAGUGGCGAACGGGUGAGUAACGUAUCGGAAUGUGCCCGGUAAUGGGGGAUAACUGUUGGAAACGAUGGCUAAUACCGCAUAAUCUCCGAUGGACCGAUGUGGGAUUAGCUAGUGGGCGGGGUAAAGGCUCACCAAGGCGACGAUCAGUAGCGGGUCUGAGAGGAUGAUCAGCCACACUGGGACUGAGACACGGCCCAGACUCCUACGGGAGGCAGCAGUGGGGAAUAUUGGACAAUGGGCGCAAGCCUGAUGCAGCCAUGCCGCGUGUAUGAAGAAGGCCUUCGGGUUGUAAAGUACUUUUAGCAGGGAGGCGGUACCUGCAGAAUAAGCACCGGCUAACUACGUGCCAGCAGCCGCGGUAAUUC